rnacentral:rRNA from 1 species
AUUGAACGCUGGCGGCAUGCCUUACACAUGCAAGUCGAACGGCAGCACGGGAGCAAUCCUGGUGGCGAGUGGCGAACGGGUGAGUAAUAUAUCGGAACGUGCCCGGUCGUGGGGAUAACGUAGCGAAAGCUACGCUAAUACCGCAUACGAUCUACGGAUGAAAGCGGGGGAUCGCAAGACCUCGCGCGAUUGGAGCGGCCGAUAUCAGAUUAGGUAGUUGGUGAGGUAAAGGCUCACCAAGCCGACGAUCUGUAGCUGGUCUGAGAGGACGACCAGCCACACUGGGACUGAGACACGGCCCAGACUCCUACGGGAGGCAGCAGUGGGGAAUUUUGGACAAUGGGCGCAAGCCUGAUCCAGCAAUGCCGCGUGCAGGAUGAAGGCCUGGUGUAA